rnacentral:rRNA from 1 species
UACGGAGGGUGCGAGCGUUGUCCGGAAUCACUGGGCGUAAAGGGCGCGUAGGCGGCGCAGACAGUCAACGGUGAAAGCUUGGGGCUCAACCCCGAGUCGGCCGUCGAUACUUCUGGGCUUGAGCACUGUAGAGGCAGGUGGAAUUCCGGGUGUAGCGGUGGAAUGCGUAGAGAUCCGGAGGAACACCAGCGGCGAAGGCGGCAUCCUGGACUGGUCCUGACACUCAGGAGCGAAAGCGUGGGGAGCGAUCCGG